rnacentral:tRNA from 1 species
UGCGGGCAAGUGAACCGGUGUCAUGCUGGCCUCAUAAGCCAUGCGAGUGGCGUUCAACUCGCCAGCCCGCAACCA